UCCGGUUCGGUUCUUAGUGAAAAAAUCAGAACUAAACCAAAGUAUCAAAAUAAUUUUGGUACGGUUCCUAUUGGUUCGUUACAGUUUUUGGGUUUGGAACCCUCGAAAACUGUGCACAGCCCUAAUUGGGAUAUGUCAAGAUGUCUACUAGCUUAGAGAUUUGUAUGUUGUUUAGCACAUAACUUCCUUAGUUCUGUUUGCUAAAUAAUGGGUUGCAUAUUCCUAAAGAGGUUUUAAAUAUUUGUAUGGUGUAAAUUUCCUUCACUCCAUUUAGAUUUUAAUUUCUUAUAUGCUU
rnacentral:misc_RNA from 1 species